UACGGAGGGGGCUAGCGUUGUUCGGAAUUACUGGGCGUAAAGCGCACGUAGGCGGCUUUGCAAGUUAGAGGUGAAAGCCCGGGGCUCAACUCCGGAAUUGCCUUUAAAACUGCAUCGCUAGAAUUGUGGAGAGGUAAGUGGAAUUCCGAGUGUAGAGGUGAAAUUCGUAGAUAUUCGGAAGAACACCAGUGGCGAAGGCGACUUCCUGGCCUGUUCUUGACGCUGAGGCGCGAAAGCUAGGGGAGCAAACGGG
rnacentral:rRNA from 1 species